rnacentral:lncRNA from 1 species
CCUGGUGGUGCACGUCCCCAACCUUAUGUGGAUUUCCUAAAUUCUGCAAAAAAGGUUUGGAAGCUGAUCAAUCAAUACUGGAACUCCCUCUUCUCCAGAAGAGACAUCCUGGCCUCCAUGCAGAGGAAUGUGUGGAUGGACAUAUAUUUAAGGAAGACACUAAACCAGAAAAUACUACAUUACACCCUCUUAAAAGACUUCUAAGAUUGUUGUCAUGCCUACCACUGACAUUCAGAUGAUGUGUAUUGUUGAUUGUGAUUUCAUGUUUGGAUCUGGUGAAGGAGUUUGAAGUCUCCAGAGCAGCAAAGAGAGUGGGGAGUAGAACUCAUCAUCUUUAGGUCACUCAUCAUCG